rnacentral:lncRNA from 1 species
AGACACGAAGGAGAAGAGAGCGAAGGUAGCACUUCGUAAUACCUGGGCAAUGUUUAUUCUUAUAUUCCUAUAAUCUUAAUUUUUUUACAAUUAUUUAUUUUUGAAAAAGUUUUAUUAAAUAAUUAAUUUUUAUAUUUUAAGGGCGUUUUGGAAAUUAACCCCCUAUUUACCGACUAUCCUCUCUAUAUAUGCCUAGAAACCCCUUAAUUUUAAAACUCAUCCCUGCAAUUUCUUCUUUUGAUCUCCUCCCAUGAGAGACUAGGAGAUAGAGAAGGAGAGAAAGAGCGAGUCUCGCUAAAGGUUCAUCUUUUGGGCUCUUUUGUAGGACUUCCUCUCCCUCCUCCUCUAUCCCAUGGCCACUCAUGCAAAAUAUUACUAUCUAUCCUCUCUAUUGUACCUUGAAGUCCCUUAAGUUAAAACUCAUCCCUGUAGUUUUUUUCUUUUGAUCUCCUCCCAUGAGAGCCUAGGAGACAAAGGGAAAGAGAAAGAGAGUCUUGCUAAAGUUCCAACCUUUGGGCUCUUCUUUGUAGGACUUUCUUUCUCUCCCCCUCCUGUCCCCAUAGCCCUCAUGCGAAUCCAAAAAAGAAGAUAGAGUCUCCCUCAUGACAGGCUAGGAGAUAAGAGGGAGAGGGAGAAAAGUCUUUGUUGGGUUGCUUGUGAUAAGACCAAGAAUGUGUAAAGCUAGUAUUUGGUUAUUGUCAAAGCAGAAGAAAAAAGGACAAAAACAUUUGCAGUUGAGUGGGAGAAAGGGUAAGAAAUCUUUGUGGAAUCUUGCUUCAAUCUUCUUUGCCUUGCUUUUCGUUGAUCUAUGUUCUUAUCAAGAAAGCCUUCUAAGAUGAUUACGCAUGUAGAAAAUAUUAUCUUCUUUAAAAUUUUAUUGUCUUUAAUAUUACAAAGUUUGUGAAGGUAGCACCUGGGGAGGCACGAAGAAGCACAGAAAAAGAGAAAGGAAAUGAGAGAGAAGAGAGUGAAGGUAGCCCCUGAUAGUACUUGGGUUGUGUUUCAGGACUAAGAGUGAGGAUUCUUUGCCAAAACUGGAAAUCUGCAACUCGGGAAAUGGGCAACCGAUCUAUCUCUACAAAUGGAUAGACUGGAAUUCUCCACUCUAGUCAAAUUUGACUUUCAUGGACGCAACCAUCAUUACCAUAGGCGCCACCAAACGAGUAACUCGUUUCUUUUAAUUUCUUCUUUGAGCAAGCUAGCAUGUUGCUAAUCUUCAUAGGAAAAAUACUCUAUAGCAACACUUACAGUCCUCGAUAUGGAAAUCACCUAAACUUUUCAUGCAGUCAUGGUAGUACAAAGUAACCACCUCCUGGUUUUCCGGCUCAAGAAAAGAAGUCAAACCUGGAGUUUUGAACCCCAUAUAUAGAAACUAGACUCGCAGAACACAAUGCCUAGAUGGGAGGGCAAGAGGCCUUGAUGAGAAGAAAAGAGACCUCGGUAAGAAAUUUGCAAGUACAGAUUAGUCAACUUGCCAACAUUAGAUUAGAACGUAUAGAAAUGUCCUUCUUGAGCAAUACUAAAAACAAUUCCCACAAAUAGGUAAAAGGCUAUUAAAUUGAGGUGCGAAGAAUAAUUAAAUGAACUAACCAAUGAUAAAGAACCUAAAGAGAAGCAAGAUAAGAGGCAUGAAACAACCAAGAGAACCAAAAGAAAAGAUUAUACGCUUCCUGAAAAGUAAACAAGAUAAUUAAGAUGAGCAGUUUUCUGAAGUUUCAGAUAUAUUUAUGGAAUUGCACAUCAACAUUCUUUCUGUAGCAGCUUUGUCUUAGAUGCCCAACUGUAAGGGGUAGGUACUAGAAUUUAUUAACAAGAAGAACAAAUGAUUAUGAUUGUAAAGUUCAAUAUGGAAAGUUUAGGAUGUAUCUUAUUGGUAAUAUGAAGUGUAGUACAUUUUUAUGACUAUCAUGAUUAAAUUAUCAUAUACAUAUAGUCUGAGUUGAUAUUUAGAUGUCAUUAUAAUAUUGAUAUCUCAUAUGUUUUGAAGUAGUCACAGUACGUUAACUCAUUAUAUCUGUAUUUUAUCACAUUUUUUAAGGUAAUCAUAAAAGUUAAUCAAUAACAUCUAAAAUUCUAAUUAAUUUACUGAAAUAGUUGCAAAUUUUUUUGGUGAAUACUUGAAAAACAAAUGUUGACUCGAUGUUACUAUGAAAGUUUUUUAGACCCACAAUUAAGAAGUGAUUGUUAGUGUUACUUUUGUAAGUUUUAUUAAAUAAAGAUAAAUAAAUUCUUAGGAAUGCAAUGCCCACAUGAAGGUUGAGAUUUACUUAUAUAAGUUAAAAUUUUCGGUAUAUUUUCCUCAAUUUAUAGUUAUUCUUAUUGUUAUUUUUUUUUUAUUCUCAAAUUCAAUGUAUUUGCGACAAUUUUUUCUUAAGUUACAAUGUUCAACAUUCGAAUAAAAAAUACCUUAGGUAUAAUGCUUGACAUAAAUAGAAGUGUGAAUGACAUAGUAAAGAAAUAAGGGACAUUAUUGUGCCGUGUAAUAAGGAAUAAGGUAAUACUUGCACCUAUUUAUAUUAUAAAUCUUGUUGGAGUUUCUGGUAAUACUGAGUUAGUUAAUUGAGUUAUUACAAUCCUCGUUUUUAACAAUGUUUAAAGUUUUAUAAACUUGAGAAGCUUGUAAGAAGUGAAUAAUGCAUCUAUUAUAUAAAUACACAAGUUCCUAAUUUACUGGGUACAUAUAUAUUAGAGGGUAUAACUUCUGCACAAAUGUGUAAUUAAGAUUCCAAAAUUUUAUUAUCUUCAAUUAAAUAUCAUUUAAUUAUUAAAAUUAAUAUCAUUAUUUUACUGUCAUAAGACAUGUUACA